GCCUGAUUCGCCUUCUUAAUUUCAUCAAAUUUCUUCUGUGAAGAUAAUUCGCAGGUCCCCUCGCCGCCGCUCGCCGCCAUCUGAACGCACGCACCGCCGCGGCCGACAGGGGCAGGAGGCCGGGCGGCUGCCCCGGCACGGUUGGAGAGCCCAUCCCCGAGCCUGGCGCGACCCCGGCCCCGGCCGCCCUGCCGCCAGGCCGC
rnacentral:lncRNA from 1 species